rnacentral:rRNA from 1 species
UACUCCCCAGGCGGGGUACUUAAAGCGUUAGCUACGGCACGGAACCCGUGGAAUGGACCCCACACCUAGUACCCACCGUUUACAGCGUGGACUACCAGGGUAUCUAAGCCUGUUCGCUCCCCACGCUUUCGCUCCUCAGCGUCAGGAAAGGCCCAGAGAACCGCCUUCGCCACUGGUGUUCCUCCUGAUAUCUGCGCAUUCCACCGCUCCACCAGGAAUUCCAUUCUCCCCUACCUUCCUCAAGUCAACCCGUAUCGAAAGCACGCUCAGGGUUAAGCCCCAAGAUUACACUUCCGACGCGAUCAACCACCUACGAGCCCUUUACGCCCAAUAAAUCCGGACAACGCUCGCACCCUACGUAUCACCGCGGCUGCUGGCACGUAGUUAGCCGGUGCUUCUUUACCCAUUACCGUCACUCACGCUUCGUCACAGGCGAAAGCGGUUUACAACCCGAAGGCCGUCAUCCCGCACGCGGCGUUGCUGCAUCAGGCUUCCGCCCAUUGUGCAAUAUUCCCCACUGCUGCCUCCCGUAGGAGUCUGGGCCGUAUCUCAGUCCCAAUGUGGCCGGUCACCCUCUCAGGCCGGCUACCCGUCAAAGCCUUGGUAAGCCACUACCCCACCAACAAGCUGAUAAGCCGCGAGUCCAUCCCC